AUACGGAGGGUGCGAACGUUGCUCGGAAUUAUUGGGCGUAAAGAGCAUGUAGGCGGACUGUUAAGUCUGGUGUGAAAGCCCGGGGCUCAACCCCGGAAGUGCAUUGGAUACUGGCAGUCUUGAGUAUGGGAGAGGAAAGUGGAAUUCCGAGUGUAGGAGUGAAAUCCGUAGAUAUUCGGAGGAACACCAGUGGCGAAGGCGGCUUUCUGGACCAAUACUGACGCUGAGAUGCGAAAGCGUGGGGAGCGAACAGGAUUAGAAACCCCAGUAGUCC
rnacentral:rRNA from 1 species